AUGUCUUCAUUGUCUUCAUUGUGAAGCAGAAUUCACCAAGUGUUGGAUUGUUCACCCAUUAAUAGGGAACGUGAGCUGGGUUUAGACCGUCGUGAGACAGUUU
rfam:Lepisosteus oculatus linkage group LG2, whole genome shotgun sequence.